rnacentral:rRNA from 1 species
CCAGCCCGCUCAGAAACUCAAAGGACUUGACGGGGCCCGCACAAGCGGUGGAGUAUGUGGUUUAAUUCGAUGCAACGCGAAGAACCUUACCUGGUCUUGACAUCCCGGAGACCCUUAGGAAACUAGGGGGUGCUUCCAUCUGGAAGAAUCUGGAGACAGGUGCUGCAUGGCUGUCGUCAGCUCGUGUCGUGAGAUGUUGGGUUAAGUCCCGCAACGAGCGCAACCCUUGCCUUUAGUUGCCAGCAGUUCGGCUGGGCACUCUAAAGGGACUGCCGGUGUUAAACCGGAGGAAGGUGGGGAUGACGUCAAGUCCUCAUGGCCUUUAUGACCAGGGCUACACACGUACUACAAUGGCCGAUACAAAGGGCAGCGACACUGCGAGGUGAAGCCAAUCCCGUAAAAUCGGUCUCAGUCCGGAUUGGAGUCUGCAACUCGACUCCAUGAAGUUGGAAUCGCUAGUAAUCGCGCAUCAGCCAUGGCGCGGUGAAUACGUUCCCGGGCCUU